rnacentral:rRNA from 1 species
UCCGAAGGGGGCUAGCGUUGUUCGGAAUUACUGGGCGUAAAGCGCGCGUAGGCGGCUUUGUAAGUCGGUUGUGAAAUCCCCGGGCUUAACCUGGGAACUGCAUCCGAGACUGCAUAGCUAGAGUAUGGGAGAGGGAAGUGGAAUUUCAGGUGUAGCGGUGAAAUGCGUAGAUAUCUGAAGGAACAUCAGUGGCGAAGGCAGCCCCCUGGGUCAAUACUGACGCUCAUGCACGAAAGCGUGGGGAGCAAACAGG